rnacentral:misc_RNA from 1 species
GUGAAUCAUCGAAUCUUUGAACGCACAUUGCGCCCUCUGGUAUUCCGGAGGGCAUGCCUGUUCGAGCGUCAUUACAACCCUCAAGCUCUGCUUGGUAUUGGGCGUCACCAGUUCUGGUGUGCUCUAAAAUCAGUGGCGGUGCCGUCUGGCUCUAAGCGUAGUACAUCUCUCGCUAUGGAUGCCUGGUGGAUGCUUGCCAACAACCCCAAAUUUUUUAAGGUUGACCUCGGAUCAGGUAGGGAUACCCGCUGAACUUAAGCAUAUCAAUAAGCGGAGGA